UGGGGAAUAUUGCACAAUGGGGGAAACCCUGAUGCAGCGACGCCGCGUGAGCGAAGAAGUAUUUCGGUAUGUAAAGCUCUAUCAGCAAGGAAGAUAAUGACGGUACUUGACUAAGAAGCUCCGGCUAAAUACGUGCCAGCAGCCGCGGUAAUACGUAUGGAGCAAGCGUUAUCCGGAUUUACUGGGUGUAAAGGGAGCGUAGACGGCAUGGCAAGUCUGAUGUGAAAGCCCGGGGCUCAACCCCGGAACUGCAUUGGAAACUGUCGUGCUAGAGUGCAGGAGAGGUAAGCGGAAUUCCUAGUG
rnacentral:rRNA from 1 species